rnacentral:rRNA from 1 species
CCUACGGGAGGCAGCAGUGGGGAAUAUUGCACAAUGGGGGAAACCCUGAUGCAGCGACGCCGCGUGCGUGAAGAAGUAUUUCGUUAUGUAAAGCUCUAUCAGCAGGGAAGAAAAUGACGGUACCUGAGUAAGAAGCCCCGGCUAAGUACGUGCCAGCAGCCGCGGUAAUACGUCGGGGGCCAGCGUUAUCCGGAUUUACUGGGUGUAAAGGGAGCGUAGGCGGCAGUGCAAGUCUGGAGUGAAAGGCGGGGGAUCAACCCCCGGACUGCUCUGGAAACUGUACGACUGGAGUGCAGGUGCGGUAAGUGGAAUGCAUGGUGUAGCGGUGAAAUGCGUAGAGAUUA